UACGUAGGGUCCAAGCGUUAAUCGGAAUUACUGGGCGUAAAGCGUGCGCAGGCGGUUGUGUAAGUCAGAUGUGAAAUCCCCGGGCUCAACCUGGGAAUGGCGAUGGAUACUGGCGAGCUAGAGUGUGUCAGAGGAUGGUGGAAUUCCCGGUGUAGCGGUGAAAUGCGUAGAGAUCGGGAGGAACAUCAGUGGCGAAGGCGGCCAUCUGGGACAACACUGACGCUGAAGCACGAAAGCGUGGGGAGCAAACAGG
rnacentral:rRNA from 1 species